GAUGAACGCUGGCGGCGUGCCUAAUACAUGCAAGUCGAGCGAACAGACGAGGAGCUUGCUCCUCUGACGUUAGCGGCGGACGGGUGAGUAACACGUGGAUAACCUACCUAUAAGACUGUGAUAACUUCGGGAAACCGGAGCUAAUACCGGAUAAUAUAUUGAACCGCAUGGUUCAAUAGUGAAGGACGGUUUUGCUGUCACUUAUAGAUGGAUCCGCGCCGCAUUAGCUAGUUGGUAAGGUAACGGCUUACCAAGGCAACGAUGCGUAGCCGACCUGAGAGGGUGAUCGGCCACACUGGAACUGAGACACGGUCCAGACUCCUACGGGAGGCAGCAGUAGGGAAUCUUCCGCAAUGGGCGAAAGCCUGACGGAGCAACGCCGCGUGAGUGAUGAAGGUCUUCGGAUCGUAAAACUCUGUUAUUAGGGAAGAACAAAUGUGUAAGUAACUAUGCACGUCUUGACGGUACCUAAUCAGAAAGCCACGGCUAACUACGUG
rnacentral:rRNA from 1 species